rnacentral:rRNA from 1 species
CACGUAGGGCGCAAGCGUUGUCCGGAAUUAUUGGGCGUAAAGAGCUCGUAGGCGGUCUGUUGCGUCCGCUGUGAAAACUCGGGGCUUAACCCCGAGCCUGCAGUGGAUACGGGCAGACUAGAGGUAGGUAGGGGAGGAUGGAAUUCCCGGUGUAGCGGUGAAAUGCGCAGAUAUCGGGAGGAACACCAAUGGCGAAGGCAGCUCGCUGGGACGUGACUGACGCUGAGACGCGAAAGCGUGGGGAGCAAACAGG